UCUUCCCUAUUCAACUUUGAAGGGUAGAUUAGGGCCCUCCAAGGGUGCAACGGGUAACGGGGGAAUAGGGGUUGGAUUCGGAGGAGGAACCCUAAGAAACGGCUACACCUUCCAGGAAAGGCAGCAGGCGGCCAAAUUCCCCAUUCCGACUCGGGGAGGUAGUGACAAUAAAUAACAAACACGGGCUCUUUGAGUCUUGUAAUUGGAAUGAGUACAAUCUAAUCCCUACCGAGAUGC
rnacentral:rRNA from 1 species